rnacentral:misc_RNA from 1 species
AAGUCGUAACAAGGUUUCCGUAGGUGAACCUGCGGAAGGAUCAUUACAAAUCCAAUGUUUUUACCCUGUUGAAAUGUAUGUGUGAGUGAGUGAGUGAGUGGGUGGGGGUUGGUUGGUUGUUUGUUUGAUAGUUUGUUGUCAUUCAUCAUUCAGCCUCUCCUCCCGUCCAUGACGACGACCGACUCGCUUGCUUGCUACAUUUAUUUAUACACGAUAUACGAUCGAUCAUCAGCCAAUUUAUUAUUAUUCACAAAUAAACAACAACAACUUUUAACAAUGGAUCUCUUGGCUCUU